UACCUCAACAUACAACCUGAGGUCACACAUUCUAGAUACCUCAAAACCUGUUUCUAUGCUGACUUGACCUGGGAAACACCCAGGUGUAUGAAUGUCAUGGGCUAUAUAUAUUUUGUUUUACAGGGCCACAUUUCAGAAGCUCCCUCAGGAUGGUGUUUGUCAGACACCACUGGCACCUUUGUCUUAAUCUUCGACCCGUUUAAGGGAUGACUCUUCUGGUCGAUCUUGUGUGGGUUAAAAUCAACUGUUGGCAACACUCCGUGUAUCUUUGACCUCAAGUAUGGACAGCCCCCAAGUAGAUCUGAUUUCACUGAUGCAAUGUGGGGAGAAACACCACUACAAUGCAGAGCCCUGGGCAGAGGAGAACCACUAGAACCCUCUGCUCUCUUUGUGAGCCUCAGCAAACGAUCACACCCCACGAUGUUAAUGUCCCUGGCACCUGACCUGAAUGACAAAUGUCUGACUUAAAAAAAUUUUAACGUGCUCAGCCCAGCCCUGGGCCUCGAGUCUCUCUCCUGGAGGUGCUGAGGAACGAACCUUCUGCUUGUGUGGCAACGAGGAGCUGUAGGUUUAGUGUUUUUGUAAUGCAGAGUAUCUACCCCGGGCACCUUCAUCAGACAGCAGUGAUGGGUGUCUUCUCCAAAACCUUGUAUGCAUACUGCUUCAUGCAGGUCAUCUUAAGUUUAUUCUAAGCCCCCCCUGUACCAAGCAUGCUCAAAUAACAAAGUACGUGCCUUCCAGAGAACCAGUAAAGUUUCUAGUCUGCUGGGCAUGGCCGUCCUUGGGCUGCUGAGCCUCUUCUGCCCAGGUCUGACCCGUGUCCCUCCUUGUGAAUGCUCACUUUCUUGGAAAAUGUCUCUGUGUCUGCUACUGUCCACCACAUGUCUCCAUCUAAUUUCUUUCUUGUUCUAUGAUACCAGAAGAUGGAAAUCUCAGUACCCACACAACUCCAGUGUCUGCCUAAACCAGGGGACUGGUUCAGGUUUCCAUGUCUGGAAAGUGGGGCCUUUGGAGCACAGCCUCACCUGUCGUGGCUUGAAGUUAACCCUCUUUCUACGCAUCAUUUGCUUUCCUCUGCAAAGCAACUCAUUUUUAAAACAAUCGCUGCUGGGCCUUAAAAGAUGGCUUGGAGGUUAGGAAUACUGACUGCUCUUAUAGGA